rnacentral:rRNA from 1 species
CACGCCGUAAACGAUGGAUACUAGGCGUUGUGAGUAUCGACCCUCACAGUGUCGUAGCUAACGCGUUAAGUAUCCCGCCUGGGGAGUACGCGCGCAAGCGUGAAACUCAAAGGAAUUGACGGGGGCCCGCACAAGCGGUGGAGUAUGUGGUUUAAUUCGAUGCAACGCGAAGAACCUUACCAGGACUUGACAUGUCGCGAAUCUCAGGGAAACUUGAGAGUGCCUUCGGGAGCGCGAACACAGGUGGUGC